rnacentral:rRNA from 1 species
AGAAUCAACGCUGGCGGCGUGCCUAACACAUGCAAGUCGCACGAGAAAGGGUAGCAAUACCUGAGUAAAGUGGCGCACGGGUGAGUAACACGUGACUAACCUACCUUUUAGUGGGGGAUAACCUAGGGAAACCUGGGCUAAUACCGCAUAAUACCUACGGGUCAAAGCAGCAAUGCGCUGAAAGAGGGGGUCGCGGUCGAUUAGUUAGUUGGCAGGGUAAUGGCCUACCAAGACUGUGAUCGAUAUCCGGCCUGAGAGGGCGCACGGACACACUGGAACUGAAACACGGUCCAGACUCCUACGGGAGGCAGCAGUGGGGAAUUUGCGCAAUGGGGGAAACCCUGACGCAGCAACGCCGCGUGGAGGAUGAAGUCCCUUGGGACGUAAACUCCUUUCGAUCGGGACGAUAAUGACGGUACCGGAAGAAGAAGCCCGGCUAACUUCGCGCCAGCAGCCGC